rnacentral:rRNA from 1 species
CGGGCCCGCACAAGCGGUGAGUAUGUGGUUUAAUUCGAUGCAACGCGAAGAACCUUACCUGGUCUUGACAUCCCGGAGACCCUUAGGAAACUAGGGGGUGCUUCCAUCUGGAAGAAUCUGGAGACAGGUGCUGCAUGGCUGUCGUCAGCUCGUGUCGUGAGAUGUUGGGUUAAGUCCCGCAACGAGCGCAACCCUUGCCUUUAGUUGCCAGCAGUUCGGCUGGGCACUCUAAAGGGACUGCCGGUGUUAAACCGGAGGAAGGUGGGGAUGACGUCAAGUCCUCAUGGCCUUUAUGACCAGGGCUACACACGUACUACAAUGGCCGAUACAAAGGGCAGCGACACUGCGAGGUGAAGCCAAUCCCGUAAAAUCGGUCUCAGUCCGGAUUGGAGUCUGCAACUCGACUCCAUGAAGUUGGAAUCGCUAGUAAUCGUGGAUCAGCAUGCCACGGUGAAUACGUUCCCGGGCCUU